UACAGAGGUGGCAAGCGUUGUUCGGAAUUACUGGGCGUAAAGGGCGCGUAGGCGGUCUUGUAAGUCUUGUGUGAAAUCCCUCGGCUUAACUGAGGAACUGCACGGGAUACUGCGAGACUUGAGAUCGGGAGAGGGAAGCGGAAUUCCGGGUGUAGCGGUGAAAUGCGUAGAUAUCCGGAGGAACACCGGUGGCGAAGGCGGCGUCCUGGACCGGCACUGACGCUGAGGCGCGAAAGCUAGGGGAGCAAACGGG
rnacentral:rRNA from 1 species